GUGUAAUAUAAUUAAUAAACAGAUCGUAUUCACCUUUGGAUGGUUUGCGUUUAAAGGAGAUCUUCCUUCGGCUCUUGGUCUCCUCUCCAUCUGAAUCACUGACUGGUUAAAGGUCAGCUCCAGAUUGGUGAGGAAAUAGUCAGCGAACUCUGGAUACAUGUCCAAAACCUCCAGGAGCUCCUCUCUCUGGAUGGUGUGCAGGUCGCAGUAGCUGAGCGCUCGCACGUCUGCGUUCGACUUCCCGGGCUUCGCAUACAGGUGGAUCAUCUCGCCGAAGAUGUCAUUCGUACCUGGAGAACAAAGGACACAUUCAGGCCUGAUCGUCAGGGUUUCUGUUGGACUUUCUGUUGGUCCGAAAACGUCUUAAGUUGCACUUUGACAAAUCAAGGCCUUAAAAAGAAUUGCCACCACUAUGUCAUCCUUGAGGAUCUCGAUGGAUCCUCGAGACAGGAAGUAGAGCGCGGUGAGGACGUCCCCGCAGUGCACCAGCGUAUCUCCAGGAGGAGCAUGGGUGGUUUUGAAGCGCAUGGCGAGAGCGCGCAGACAUCCUUGAGUCGCACCUCUGAAAGCCUUACAUCCCUGAAGGAGACUGUGGUUCAGAUGAAGACAAAUAUCUGCCUGUAAACACUCAGGAAAGCCUUUUAAGACCUGCAGAGAGAUGCCAGAAGGAAGGUCCACGAGUGCUGGAAAUACUCCUCCAGUCUCUGUCUGAGCGGGUUUGGGAUCUGGUGGAAUCGGAUGAACUCUUUCACGCGGAGCAUCUGCAUGUGGUACCGCGCCGUUCCCGAAUACAGCCGCUGGAUGAUGGCAGAAACAUUCCCAAAAAUGCUGGCGUACAUCAAAGCUGGAGAGGACAGGACAGAGGCACACAGAUGAAAACUAAUGCCAGACUUACAUCCGAUGAGCAUGACGCAGAUGGAGAAAAUCUUCUCAGAGUUGGUGUUCGGAGACACGUUUCCAAAGCCCACGCUGGUCAGCGAGCUGAACGUGAAGUACAGUGCGGUCACGUAUUUAUCCUUUAUG